rnacentral:ncRNA from 1 species
CUGUCGGUGCUCCCCGGGAGGGGAGAUAAUAGGGAAACAGGUGCAAGACCUGUGCAGUCACGCUGCCGUAAGGAACAGCUUUUCUCCACGCGCAAUGCAGCCACUGGGAAACCGGGAAGGCGGAGGCAAAGCGUUAAUUCCGAGCCGGAAUACCUGCCGACAUUU